rnacentral:rRNA from 1 species
AUGACUUCACAUGGGAUACAAUUGCAGUUGUGUCAAGCUUGUGCUGAAGAGACCACCAAAGCAAUUAUUGAUGAUAUUGGAGAUAGAAAUUUUUCUUUACUUGUUGAUGAGUUUAGAGAUGCAUCAAUAAAGGGGCAAAUGGCUAUGGUUUUAAGGUAUGUCGAUAAACAUGGGUAUGCGAUUGAGAGGUUCAUUGGGAUUAAGCACGUUGGUGACACAAGAGCGGCUUCUCUAAAAGCAGCUUUGGAUGGUAUAUUUCUUAAACAUGGCUUGUCUAUGUCUAAAUUGAGAGGGCAAGGGUACGAUGGACCUUCUAACAUGAGAGGAUAA